GACGUAGGGCGCGAGCGUUGUCCGGAUUUAUUGGGCGUAAAGAGCUCGUAGGCGGCUUGUCGCGUCGACUGUGAAAACCCGCGGCUCAACCGCGGGCCUGCAGCCGAUACGGGCAGGCUGGAGUUCGGUAGGGGAGACUGGAAUUCCUGGUGUAGCGGUGAAAUGCGCAGAUAUCAGGAGGAACACCUAUAGCGAAGGCAGCUUACUAGGCUGUAACUGACGCUGAGGCACGAAAGUGUGGGGAUCAAACAGG
rnacentral:rRNA from 1 species